CGCAAGUGUAUUCCUAUACUGUUGCGUUUAAAUAGCUCGUAGUUGGAUCUGCGUGUUUAGCGCGCGGUGCUGCUUCUUGCAGUUACUGUGACGCGACACUGUACGUUGACUACAUACUUCGUAAGUACGUAGACAACAAGUUUACUUUGAACAAAUCAGAGUGCUCAAAACGGGCGUUUCGCUCGAAUGUUCUUGCAUGGAAUAAUGGAAUAGGACCUUGCGUUCUAUUUUGUUGGUUUUCGGGACGCGGGUAAUGAUUAAGAGGGACAGACGGGGGCAUUUGUACUGCGACGUGAGAGGUGAAAUUCUUGGAUCGUCGCAAGACAGACUACUGCGAAAGCAUUUGCCAAGAAUGUUUUCAUUAA
rnacentral:rRNA from 1 species